UACGGGGGGGGCAAGCGUUGUUCGGAAUUACUGGGCGUAAAGGGCUCGUAGGCGGCCAACUAAGUCAUACGUGAAAUCCCUCAGCUUAACUGGGGAACUGCGUGUGAUACUGGAUGGCUUGGAUUUGGGAGAGGGAUGCGGAAUUCCAGGUGUAGCGGUGAAAUUCGUAGAUAUUCGGAGGAACACCAGUGGCGAAGGCGGCUCACUGGUCCGGUACUGACGCUGAGGUGCGAAAGCGUGGGGAGCAAACAGG
rnacentral:rRNA from 1 species